CCUGGCGCUGGGAAGAGAACAAAUGAUACUACAAAGAAGCAUACAAUGAAUAGACAAUCCAACCAAGCAAAGACCGGGGGCAGCAGUCCGCCAGAAAGACGGCAUCUUCUCCCCAGCCUAGAAGUCCUGGGAAACCGAGGAUCUUCCCCCUAAAACACACAUACACACAAGAUAUGUGCAAUCAAGCUGCCACCGCUUGGUAAAAAAAAAGCUCAUGGUGUCUAACCCAAAGGAUCAGGAGCAGAUCCCUGAAUCAGCUGUCACUUCUUCUAUAGAAUGGAAUGUGGUUUUUUUUUUUCUUCCUUCUUCCUUAACCUGCACUGGAAAUUGCCGUUGGCUUUAAACGUCUCUAUAGAGCAAGGCCAAAAGAGUCUGGCGUGAGAAUGAAGCAAUUUACAAUGCAAAUAGAGGCCUGUGAAGGGACGGAUGCUGCUGCUCAUUCGUAACAGCUUGCUGCACCUUAAUAGCUGCUUUUAUUUUCUGAUAUUAAUAGUUGAAUUGUUGCCUAACGCUGCCGGAGAUUACUUGCUGAAAGAAAAAAAAAGUUCGGAAUAAACUUUGAAAGCAACAGAUCUCGUUUGGAUGUUUUAGCCGCACACACAAACAGAAACCAGGUCCUAUUUACAGCCACGGAGGAAUCUUCGGUGCGGCAAGUUCCAGGAGGACUAUUCUUCGAUACUGGCAGAAAAGGACCGGGAGCUGGAGUCUGGCCAGAGGAAGACAGGCGUGUGAGGGAAGCGAGUUGUUAUCUUUGGUUAUCUAGCUGUAUGAGUGUAUUGGUCUUCAUAAAGCUAGAUAACCGAAAGUAAAAACUCCUUCAAGGUCGCCGGGGAGCGUGUGAGAAUGAAAGACUGCACCCAAGAGACAGUAAAAACCAGAAAGGUCAGGAAUACUUAUUGAAUCUAACUUUGUUUUUAUUUUGAUUUCUCCUUAUGAUUAAAAUGGGAUUAGAGGAAGCUGAGUGACACAUAUAUGCCAAAAUAUCAAUGGGGUCAGAUGAUUUUCGAGGGAUUGUUACAGCUGGGAAGGAGAAUUGUAUAGAGUGAAUGAGUAAAGAUGUGUGUGUAGGACUGGUCCCACUGUAAGGUAAAAGUUUGUAUAUGAAGGCUUUUAUUAUUAUUUUUUUGGUAGAGAGUUGUAGAAAUGUCUGGGAACAAGUUUAUAAAUGAUUCUAUAAUACAUAGACUGAGGCAGCUUCUUUCUGAGGACCCCUCUCCUGAAAAAUGUGAAGAUUAUGCUUGGAAAUGACCUGCCAUUUGGGUUGUAUGACAAAUCAUAUGAAAUUAGACUUUCAGAAAAGUUUAUACUGGAAAGUUAAUAAUUUAUAUCUACUAAGGACAUAGAGCUAGCAGGGAAAUGAAAAGGAAGAAAAAAAGCAAAGGCUGAUUUUUAUUCUUCUAUUCAAAAUACAAGGACAGAUGCUUCUCUGUUCCAAGAGGGUUUCCUUGAGGAAGCUACUGAAGCAGAAAGACAUGAUGGAGACGAGAUCGCCUCCCCUCUUGUCAAAGUGUUAAAAAAAAGUUCUGUCUUACUCUGCGCCUAGCAUUGGAAAUGAAAGUGACAUUUACGCCACAACCCACGUGUGCGCCCUCCUCUCUUUUUGUUUAAGGAUGAUCAGGUCUAUCCAGGAAACAGCUCUGGCAUCCCAAACUGAAAUAAUUAGGACGUAUAUAGACCUGACAAAAAUGGAAAGGGGGUGGGGAAUCUGAGGGUCUGUCUUGCCUAAUUGAUUCCGCUAAACGGAAUGCAGGAGAUGUGAACGGCAGGACGCUCUGAUUCCCACGCUCGGGGGCAAGCGGUAGAGCGGGGCCGGCAGCCUAUGACGGACAGCCCUGUUGGGGGGUGGGGGUAUGAAAAAAACAUCAAGUGCACACACCAUACUCAUCUCCAUCGCUUAAGAAAGUAGAGGCAUUUCCCACCCACAGCCAUCUGCAGCCUCCCAAAUGGGAGCACCGACUGGUCUGUAGCUGUUGCAUGACUGUCUGUUUCAGUUAAUUUUAUACCCGCUGUCUAAUCUGACCAUAAUUAAAUUUGUCUUUCUUUUUGGUGGAAAGUUUCAAUAUUUUAAGAAAACUAGCAGAAAGUAGCUCAAAGAAAGUUCCCUUACUUCCUGCCCCCUCAUGUCAAACUCAGUCCCUAUUUUGGGCCUAGUGAUGGACCUUUUGGCUUUUGUUGGAGGUGGGUUCUAAUUCGAAAAUACAGAGGGCCCUGUAACAUUCCUAUCACUUCAUCAAGUUGGUUACCUCUUAACAUGAUACAUUAGGAACUUGACCUACUUAUGCUAGGAGACAUACAUGGAAAGAAAAUUAUAGUAGAUUGGCUAGAAUAACACUAUGGGUUUCUUCUGGUAUGGUUUCAGAUGUGUUCUAAAUAGCCAUUUACAUUUACUCUAAGAGUGACUGUUUUUAGCAGACACUUUGGUGCUUUGGAAUUUCCCCAAGGUAAUCUUUUCAUGAAAGUCCUUAUAUUUUUCUAUAUCCACCAAGCAAAUAUUUGUAUAGGCAAUAUACAAAUUUCAAUAAGCAAAUGGUUAAUAAAAACAAAAAAGGCCUAUUCUCAUCCACCUGGCCUAGAUUACUGACAAUCCCAUAUCUCCAAUAUACACUCCCUCCCCCACCAAAAAAAAAAAAAGUAGCAUUGUUUUCUUUGUGGUUUCAAGGCUGUAAAACUUCACUCUGGAGAAGCUUGUAAAACCACCGUUAGUUUCACUGAGAAACUCUAAGAGACUUUAAUAAUGUAAAUUCUCGAUUUGGCUUCUGAGCACGUGCCAAAGUUUUACUACUGUAGUGACCGUUGAGGAGACCCUUGUUUAUUUACAUUUGAAGCACUGUUUGUGCAAACAACCUUUCAUUGUUAAGUGCCUGUAUUCCUUUCAUUUACUUCAUGUCCAGGGGUGCUAUUUACCUAGAACCAUUGUCUAGUACAAUUAACAUUUACAUUACAAAGUGUGUGGUUUUCUUUCUCAAGGAGGUUCAAUUAAGGCAAUAAGAUGUUUGCUGGGGGAACCUAUUGUUUACUGAAAGCACUCAAUGGAGUCAAAUUACUGAAGCUUUUGCCUACAUCUUGGUCUUUUAUGUAAAUGUGUUAAAUAUAACAUCUAAGGAAAAUAAACAAUAUUAUAAUUAUGUGUUUGCCAUUGUCAUAUCAAACUUGCUUUGUAUCAUACUAAUGUUACAUGAUUUACCAAUCAAUAAAAAUACAUUUCAAUGUUA